UGCAGCUUUGCAAAUGAGUCUGGUUUUUGACCUUAAAACAUUUCCUUUCAGUAAGGUAAAAGAAUAGAUUAUACAAUGCUCUUAAAACUCAAAAACAUAAUAAAAUCAUCUUUUUCAACACAGACUGACCUUACUUUCAAAAACAUAAAGAAAUGAAGGAGAGGAAAUUUCAUUAAUAUGAGUUUAAGAGAGAGCAAAAUUAAGAACAAACUAGGCAAGACAGACAACUCCUCCCUCCUUCCCCCGCUCCAGGAAUCCACUGUCUCUGAAGUUACACUUUUUAUUAUAUUAAUGAUUUGCCUGAGAAGUGUUAAGUUGUGAGGGAGAAGGAAUGACAAUUUUUGAACUGCAAACAAAACCUGAGGAUCCCGAUCCAAGAACAAUCAGAGGACCCUGGCUUCCAGCCCUGUCUGAAGAUUUCUCAGCAAAGGCGAGGGUGCAGAAGGCUCCAAUAAUUUAGGGGAGAGGAAUCGAAGUUCCCUAGGUAAGACUGCAGUCUGUGAGCCCUUGAAAAGGGUACUGGAGUACUCUCAAGGAAUCUCCAGGAAAAGAGAGCCUAUCUUUAUUUUUGUUGAUGUGCUUGUGGGCCAAAGAGCAUUUCCGAGGAGGGGGCGGGGAAAGGGGGGAAGAAAGUGAAUCUCGGGCCGAGAGCCCUCCGCGGGGGAGGGAGGGGGCGCACGCCUGACCCACUUUUCCCCACGCCCCCGCUCCAGCCCCCACCCCACCCGGUGGAAGUCCGAGGCCUGAGGGGGGGCAUCGAGCGGGGCGUGGGAGGCCCGCACGCUCCCCACCCCCAGCCGCGACCCGGAGGAGGGGAACGUGCCGGGAGGCUCGAGUCCCCCUCCCAGAGUGCUCUGGGCCGGAGAAACCUCCCGCAGGCUCCCGGGCCAGGCGUGCAAGGCCCCCUCUCCUGCCAGGGCCCAGGACGCUGCGGGCCCCAGCGGAGGGGAAGGGGACUAAGUAGGGGAAGAAGCUGUAAACAGCCCCAGCGUCCGGGCCUCGCCUCGAAGAGCCGCGCUUCCCAGGCCCAGCCGCGGGCCGCCCAGGCCCCCAGCCUGCCCCGGGGCCGCCGCGCCCGGGGUCCGGGACACCGGAGGGGAGUCGGGUCCCCUCCCCGGAGAGCUCCGGGAGCUCGCGGAGCGGCCCCAGGAGCAGAGAAGGGGGAAGUCAGGACUUACCUGUCAUUACUUUCUACGCCAUCUUGGAUCCACUUGUCAACGUCCCCACAAAGCAUUAUGGACGCCCCGCGUCUGCAUUGAAUCAACCCGAGGUUUCCUUGCCGCCCGCGGCGCGGCGCGGAGCUGCUCGCGGAUUUAUUUGUGCGCGUGGAUGUGAGCGUUUCUGCUCCUGCGGCCGCGCUUCCAGGAAGCCCGCGAGCGGCCGGGGUCGCCUUCAGAGGCCGCGCAGACCAGCUCCGCACCCGCCGCCCGGAGAGGUGCCUCUGCCCUGGGAAACCGCCCCGGGGCCGUUGGGCUCCGGGAACUGGGAGGACGCCGUGUCCCCGAGUCCACCAGCGUCGAAGCACGAUUUAAAAAAAAAAAUUGAGCCAAAUGCAACUUUUUACCCCUUGUUUACUCUGUGUCCCGCGGUCUCCUCCUCCGGGCGGGUAACGUGAUCCGCGACCCUCUAGGUGGGGACCCCUCCCCUAGGAAUGUGGCUCCAGGCUCCGCGGAGCCACCCUGGGAGCGUCCGGGCUGCGGACUGUGACUCCGGGGCAGGCUCUCCCACGGAGCACCCUCUGCUGACUCUGCAGCCCCGCAGGCCUUCCUCGAACAGUCCAUGACAGGAAGCCAGGCUUCCUGGGGUCCUGAGUCAGCAGAGCAGGAAGGAAACAAAGGCCUCAGAACCGCAGAAGAGAAAGAAGGCAGCCUGAAGACAGAAGGCGACCCUCUGAAGACAGGUCUAGAGACUUAACGUAUGAUGUUCCUGGAGUCCUGUUGCCUGUAAGGGAAGCACAAACCCUGAGUUGCACUGUGUCCUCUGACCUGUCUGAUCCCAGGCAAGCUCCUCGGCCUCUCUCUGCUACAGUUUCUUUGCCUGUGAAACAGGGAUAAUAAAAUAGCCUUUCCAUGGGCUGAGCACGGUGGUUCACACCUGUAAUCCCAGCACUUUGGGAGGCCAAGGCGGGUGGAUCACGAGGUCAGGAGUUCAAGACCAUCCUGGCCAACACAGUGAAACCCCGUCUGUAUUAAAAAUACAAAAACUAGCUGUGCAUGGUGGUGCGUGCCUGUAGUGCCAGCUACUCAAGAGGCUGAGGCAGGAGAAUUGCUUGAACCCGGGAGGUAGAGGUUGCA
rnacentral:lncRNA from 1 species